rnacentral:tRNA from 1 species
GCGGGUGUAGCUCAGAUGGCUUAGAGCAGGGAGCUUUUAACUCUCAGGUCACUGGUUCGAGUCCAGUUACCCGCACCA